rnacentral:rRNA from 1 species
AGAGUUUGAUCCUGGCUCAGAUUGAACGCUGGCGGCAUGCCUUACACAUGCAAGUCGAACGGCAGCACGGGAGCAAUCCUGGUGGCGAGUGGCGAACGGGUGAGUAAUACAUCGGAACGUGCCCAGUAGUGGGGGAUAGCCCGGCGAAAGCCGGAUUAAUACCGCAUACGACCUACGGGUGAAAGCGGGGGAUCGCAAGACCUUGCGCUAUUGGAGCGGCCGAUGUCAGAUUAGCUAGUUGGUGGGGUAAAAGCCUACCAAGGCGACGAUCUGUAGCUGGUCUGAGAGGACGACCAGCCACACUGGGACUGAGACACGGCCCAGACUCCUACGGGAGGCAGCAGUGGGGAAUUUUGGACAAUGGGCGCAAGCCUGAUCCAGCCAUGCCGCGUGCGGGAAGAAGGCCUUCGGGUUGUAAACCGCUUUUGUCAGGGAAGAAACGGUCUGUGCUAAUACCACGGACUAAUGACGGUACCUGAAGAAUAAGCACCGGCUAACUACGUGCCAGCAGCCGCGGUA